rnacentral:lncRNA from 10 species
ACUUUGGUCGUGGGCGCGUGUGUGGAAUGGGAGGAGGUCGCGCUGUCCAUGGGCGUCCUUGGCCUGCGCCACCCAGGUGAGCGCUCCGGAGGCUGCGAUCCCCGGGUCCCGACCGCCCGCCUAGCACUGGCCUGAUGGGGAAGCGUCCCGGGACUGGAAGGGCAGCCGGCUUGCGCGCGUGGUUCCCACGCCCCUCGGGCUCGGGGGAUCGCUCCGGGUGCUGGCUGCGGGCUCGGCGGGGAGGACCCCGGGAGCGCGUCCCUGGGCCCCACGUCGGCCUCUGCGCGGGCAAGCCCCUGGGCUCUUUGGCUCUAGACGCUUUCCAGGCCUGGGGAAACCGCAUGCGUGGACGUGGGAAACGGGGCGCGUGACGGGGAGGGGCGCGCCCCGGGGGCCUGUGGUCGUUCCGAGCUUCCACCUGGCCCGACGCAGGCAUGUGCCCUGCCCGCCGCGUCGUCCCUGGGCCUGCGGGGGCUGGGGCCUCAGCUGAGAGUCCUGGGAAGGUGGUGCUGGAUUGUGGCUCUGUCGCGGGGAUGAGGGGUUGAUCUGGGAAGCCCUCAGGAUGUGUGUGUGGCUCCUGGAAGAGAUGAUAAAUAGCCAAAGACGUCAAUGGCACCCAUGGACAUAGUAAGCAUAGUAGGAGCUGAAAAACUAGAAGCAAUGACAAUGUCAACUAUUUUGAGCAAAAAGAAGCAGUGUCUUCGGAACAUUUGAUCAUAAAACCAGAAAUUAAAGGAUGAGAAAAACAUUUUUCUGAAGCUUAUACUUUCACAUUUCCUAGAGAGCAUAUUUGUGUGGAUGGGGGUGGGUAAACACUCAACAAAAGUUUCUUUAAAAAGAAGAAACCAUCCUGGUUUGAUGUAAUCAAUGGUUGCCCACUGCUCCCUUCCUGUGCCUGUGACCCUUCCCAAACUGCCCUGUUGCUUGCAGGCUCGCCUGAGCUGAAAGGCAGCCCUCACAUCCCGUCGGCACCUCCCUGGGGCCUUCUUUACACCCUGGAGAACUUCACAGGGAAUCUGUGUCUGUAACACAAAGGCUUCCUGGUCCAGAUGUAGAUACUAAGGCUGACUGGUUAUUUAAGUCCUGCGGACUUACUCUGCCAAAAUUAUUUAAUCAUGUAAAAAUAAUUUAUAAUUCUUAUAAAGUAUCCCCUUCAUAAUAUAAUGAAUGUUGGUGCUAUUACAUUUAAGUGCACAUGUACAGUAUACAAGAUUAUUAAUAAUAAUGUUUUCAAAUAGUUAUUGUCAAAGCUAUUUUUCUUAUGUUUAUGAAAGUGCUUAUAAAAUUCAUGUUUUAUGAGGCUGGAGAUGUAUAUUUUGUAAUUUCAUUCUGAUAUUUGUUAAUAUUCGCUUCCAAUGCUGGUUUUGUUUGAUGAGACUGACAUUGCCUAAUUUCAAGCUUUUUGAAUGUGUAUUCUUUCAGGGCAAGUAUGAAAUAACUAGUAAAAAAUAUACAAAUAUGCUUAACAAUAAGUAGACUUUCUCACAUUGAUUACUUACAACAGCUUUAUGUGGGGUGAAUCAGAUGCCUGUAUUACAGAAGCAUCUAAUGCAAAGCAAAAUAAAAACACUUGCAUGAGCGCACAGAGGUAGGUGUGGAAGAAAGUGAAACACUAUUUUAGGUUUUAGUUACACUCUGCUGUGGUGUGCUGCCUAGUAUUUGCAGGUUAAUGCAAAUACUAGGGGUUAUGAAUUGUUUCUAAGUUUAUUAUUAAAAAUAGCCUUGCUUCAUUUCUUCCUAAAAUGGAGACAAAUAUGUAUAGUGUCUGUGUUACCAGUAUGUGUAAGAGUAAUAUCUUAAUGCGUGUAAAAUGUUUAUAGGAACCUGUAUUUCAAAGAGCUAUUUUUGCAAGUGACACUAUCCUUUUAAGAAACUUUUUUAUUCAAACUUUUUCCUCCAUUUAUAACUAUUCUAUUAUUUCUUAAUGUUCAGAACCCUUUUCAUUAUCUAUAAGGUUAAAUUUUAGGUAAGUAAUGAGAAAAUAAUAAUAUGUGGAGAAGAAAUGAGUGAGGAGUCGAGAUGUGUGUCAAUCAAGAAUGAGUUUGUCAGCCCUUGUAUUAUGAUUUUACUCGGGAGGGGAUAAUUAUUGAAGGAUGUAAUGUAAGGGCAGUGAUACUAUAUGGUAUGUAAGACUGUUAAAAUCACUGAGGUAAGCUAUUACUUGAACUAAGCAUAGAAAUAGAGACAGAUUUUUAAUGCAUUUAAUUAUCAAAAUAUCUAAAUUAAAGAUUUGAUGUGGUUGUUCACUGGAAACAAAUGGCAGACAAACAGAAUAUUUCUUGGAAUCAUAAAUGACAUCAUCCUGUCUCCAACUUUCUGUGUAGCUUCUUUCUUUAGUUGGUCUUUGCUUAGAUUUCCCUGUGUCAGAGACGACUUCCCUGGAUAUCAGUGACAGUUAUUGAUUGCUCAUGCUAUGAACUCCUCCCAUUUCUCAGCCCUCUUGCAGUAGGUGGGGCCAUGGUACUAGUUGUGGCUUAUUGCUUAAAGACUUUAAGGCUCCAUGUGUGACUUUCCAGCUCUGGUCCACUGCUACUGCGGCUCUGGCAGGACUAGGGAGGUGCCCCGUGUCUCAGAUGGUGCAGCCUCCAUCCAGCUGUGUCCCUGAAUGACUAGAGCACAGCCACUGGUGACCUGUGGUGGACGUAGAAUGUGGGUAAGAGAUAAACUUAUGCUACACCGCUGGGGUUCAGGGGCUAAUUUGUUACCACAGCAUAGUCAACCUUU